GGUGCUUACUAGCACAGAGUCCAUAACGAUCUGGAGUAGGUGUGUAACGACCAAGGGAAGCAGAACGACUCCAGGCUGACCAAGAGCA
rnacentral:snRNA from 13 species